rnacentral:rRNA from 1 species
GGGGGGGGGGGGGGGGGGGGCGGGGGCGGGGGGGUCGAGCGGGGGGGGGGGGCGGGCUCCUGGAUUCAGCGGCGGACGGGGGAGGAAUGCCUGGGAAGCUGCCUGGGAGUGGGGGAUAACGUCCGGAAACGGGCGCUAAUACCGCAUACGUCCUGAGGGAGAAAGUGGGGGAUCUUCGGACCUCACGCUAUCAGAUGAGCCUAGGUCGGAUUAGCUAGUUGGUGGGGUAAAGGCCUACCAAGGCGACGAUCCGUAACUGGUCUGAGAGGAUGAUCAGUCACACUGGAACUGAGACACGGUCCAGACUCCUACGGGAGGCAGCAGUGGGGAAUAUUGGACAAUGGGCGAAAGCCUGAUCCAGCCAUGCCGCGUGUGUGAAGAAGGUCUUCGGAUUGUAAAGCACUUUAAGUUGGGAGGAAGGGCAGUAAGUUAAUACCUUGCUGUUUUGACGUUACCAACAGAAUAAGCACCGGCUAACUUCGUG